rnacentral:lncRNA from 1 species
UAAGAAACAUAUGGUUAUCAGAACGUUGUGUGCUAGCUGGGUAACCUAUAUUCUUGUAAAAUCGAGUGAUGUUGUUUAUAAUCCACCAGAAGGCCUUUAUUUAAUCCUAGCCAGAAUUUUAGCAUUUUCAAUAAAAAAUACUAGCUAUUUAAUGGAUGUGUCCUGGCAGAUAAUGGCUGGAAAAAAAUACUCAAUAGGCUAAUUCAGUUUCAGUAUAAUCUACUAGUAUUAUUUUCAUGUGAUAUAAUAGACGUUAUAAACUGUUAAAUUAGCAUACCUAAUUAGCCGGUUUCCAAUUUGGAAUCUGUCGUUAUAUUAUUCACAUCCACGCGCUUUCAGGACAGAAUUUCACAGGGCUUUCCUUACGGUAUUCAGAGCAUAAAAUAAGACAUUUCCCUUUUAAGACGGUGAGUUUACUGUAGUUUAGGCCAAAUAUUAUACAGGCUAGUUUAGGAAAAAUGUGUGGUCGCCUAAACAAAAGUUUAGACAUACAUAGAUGGUUUGGAUUAAAUCGAUUACACAACAGUCUCUAAAAACAGUUCGGUGUGUUUCGAUCAGAAACGAUGCCUCUGUUUGACAAGUCUUGGCUCCAAAAGAGUGUCCGCUUCGUGGGCGUAGGCGUGAACCUAUUCAAGUACAGUAAAUAUGGAGAGCUGUGAAAGCCUGUCUGUAGAUGAAGAGGUCCCAGUGAAUGUCCCAAGAGAUUGCUGGCACAUCCUUGUAUGCCAUGGGUUGUAUGUGUAUUUAUGUUAACAAAUGUUGUAUACAACAAUACAGUUAAAAGUCACACAGAAUGUAGGCUACAAACUUAUUACAACUGUAGCAGGCCAAUCCUUCUCCUGGAGGUAUGCUGGGUGUGCACGCUUUUGUUCAAGCCCAGCACUAACACCUGAUUCAAACCUAUUGAGUUGAGAAUGUGUAUUUUUGCUGGGCUGGAAUACUGCUCACCCAGUAUAUCAGGGAGUGGAGCAAGGUUGGCAACCUCUGGUAUGGCUUUUUUGUACACCUGAAAUUAGGCUUUAGUAAUAAUAUCCUACUUACUAAGAUGUCUAACAUUUACAAACACGUUUUGUACAAACUUGUACAUUUUUAAAUUCAAUGUUGAUUCAUUGAAGUGUUUAAACUGGUUUUAAUUGUUAACUUAAAACAUUCAAGUUGUGGCAAUGUUCAUUCAUGACAGAACACAAUUCUGCAAUAAAAAGGUGUGAAGAGGAUCUGUCUCUAAUUUGUCUGUUUCUGUGUUGCUUUCGUGAAGUAACAUUACCUUUUUGUCCAGUUGUGAGCUCUCCAAUCGGUUUUAUUUGAUUGUCACUCUCAGGAUAUCAGCCAUGUGAACCCAUUUUGCAGCUUAUCAUAAUGGCAUGCAUCACCAAUGCAGCCAUAGGCCUAACGUUUGAUGGCAUUACUGGCCUAAUGGGCAUGUCCAUCAACGUGCCCCUUGUCAUUGUACAUCUAAUGCAGCUCUACGGACAAUUUCUUUGACCUCGUGGCUUGGUUUUUGCUCUGACAUGCCUUGUUAACUGUGGGACCUUAUAUAGACAGGUGUGUGUGCCUUUCCAAAUCAUGUCCAAUCAAUUGACUUUACCACAGGUGGACUCCAAUCAAGUUGUAGAACCAUCCCAAGGAUGAUCAAUGAAAACAGGAUGCACCUGAGCUCAAUUUUGAUUCUCAUAGCAAAGGGUCUGAAUACUUAUGUAGAUAAGAAUACAGAGACAAAGUCAGAAGGUCAACGGCAUGGAGGAG